UUUUAAUCAAACUUUAUAUUCAUUUAAUAAUGAUAUUAGAUUGCAAUUCUAAAGGAAUAAUAAUAAAUUAUUGAAGUUU
rnacentral:tRNA from 1 species